UUUUGUCUUGUAGUGGCUUCAUAAUCUAAUGACGUUAAAUGACUACAUGAAUGAAUCUUUGAGCAGUCUGGAGCCGAUGUGACCCUGAGGAGUGUUUUCGUUGUAUCUUCAGCAUUUCUGUCCCUCUCUGCUUCUCUGCAGGUGAUCAGUGCGGCUGCUCCAGCUACUCCUCUCUGCUGUACGCUUUGUCCUCAGCUGUGGCCGUCCUCCUCCUCCUCCUGCUCCUCGCUGGAUGUGUGCUGAUUUACAAAGGCAAAGCACGCCGCGGUGUCAAGUCACACCCUCAGGCCCCCAUCUACGAGGAGAUGACUGGGAUGCAGCCUCUCAGCCGCAAAGCAGCUUCUCACCGGCUGGAAGAAAUGGAGUCUUCAGAAUACAGGAACUGCCCAGUGACGAAAUCCUGCCCUGAGAACUAUUAUGAAAGACCCACCGGGGGCCUCUGCCCCAAGAAAUGAAAUGUUUGCUUUACCUGCCAGCGUCGUGACAACUUGUCAACUCCGCUGCCUCAAACUCACUGGACUAGUGCUAGCUUCAGAAGUUUCUUCAGCUGUUUAUUUUUUUGUUUGUUUUUAUCAGCUAAGGUUCUCUUUUUAUUCUCAUGUAUAUGGAUUGUUUGCUAGAGGGUCAUUCCAUCUCAUAGCAGCAAAUUUAUAGAACUAUUUCUGCUCAACAAUCUCUGAUUUGCCUGAAAAAUUUAUAGCAUAAAAUGUGGAUAUUUCUAUCAAAUAUUUGCGAAUUGCCGAUUGACCCGCUUUCAGCAUGUUUUUUCACACAUUCCAAAGUUUUUCGGCUAUAUUUGACCCAAUAAAGAAAAAAAAUGUCACUGGUAUUUCUCAGAAUACCAUUGAUUCAGAAUCUGCAAUACUGGACAAACAGGUCAAACAAUCUCUAGUUAUCGGUGAGUUUAUAUAUUUUAAAAAUGCAGCUGUUGUGAAAAGUCCAGGCUUUGAGCUCAUAUUAACAAAAACCUGUUCAUGCAUAAGUCAACUACUGACACUUUCUGAAUAUGUAGCUAUAUAAUACAAGAAUAACACAAAACAACACACAGAUAGAAGAUAGCCGGAUCCGGUCCGUGUACGGAUCUGGUAAUUGGAUUUUCCGUUCUGAAACGGGUAUUGAAAAAGUGUGGUUAUUUGAUUUUCGUUUUAAAAUGUGAAAAUAAAAAUUGAA
ensembl:lncRNA